GACGAACGCUGGCGGCGUGCUUAACACAUGCAAGUCGAACGGAAAGGCCCUGCUUUUGUGGGGUGCUCGAGUGGCGAACGGGUGAGUAACACGUGAGUAACCUGCCCUUGACUUUGGGAUAACUUCAGGAAACUGGGGCUAAUACCGGAUAGGAGCUCCUGCUGCAUGGUGGGGGUUGGAAAGUUUCGGCGGUUGGGGAUGGACUCGCGGCUUAUCAGCUUGUUGGUGGGGUAGUGGCUUACCAAGGCUUUGACGGGUAGCCGGCCUGAGAGGGUGACCGGCCACAUUGGGACUGAGAUACGGCCGAGACUCCUACGGGAGGCAGCAGUGGGGAAUAGUGCACAAUGGGCGGAAGCCUGAUGCAGCAACGCCGCGUGCGGGAUGACGGCCUUCGGGUUGUAAACCGCUUUCGCCUGUGACGAAGCGUGAGUGACGGUAAUGGGUAAAGAAGCACCGGCUAAGUACGUG
rnacentral:rRNA from 1 species